AAACCGAAGACAGCUUUGGAUACAGGCCCUGAAACGGAAAAACUUUAAGCCAUCUGCACAUACGCGCCUUUUUGUAUAUACAAGUGAAAUUAUAAGAAGAUUUUAAUUAGCAUGAAGGUAUUUCCACACGAUGCUUCUUUCGUCCUGGGCAACUGCAGACGCACAGGAAUAAAAGGGCAUGCACAACAAUUUGUGGAAAGAAUGCAUGUAUGCAUGGGUCUUCUCGUAUCCACAUGCUGCCUCAUCGCUCAGGCAGUCUGCUAUGAAUCUCCUUUGCUUGCGAGCAUGUGUUGCGUUUCUUGUGAUGAAAAGGCGACAGAAGAACAAAAUCCAAAAGCCGAUGAGGAGGUCGUGACGAGAUUUUAGAUUUUCUGCUUGGGAAUCUCCAACGAUAAGGCUGACAAUAAAAUUUUUGUUGGUUAGUAACUGUAAACUUAUAUACUCGUUUGAAUUAUUUAUUCCCCAUUUCGAAACAAAGCAUUUCAGUUCUCUUAAAUUUGUAACCUGUAAUGUGGAAUAAUUUAUUAUUUGACUGUUUUAUACCUCUUUUCAUUGUAAGAAAUGCCUAAGCUUGAA